CACCCAACAGGGUCGGGGUAAAAACAGUUUAUCAGAGAUAAGACCAUUGAUACGUACCGGACGCCCGGGUGGGUGAGUUACAACUGCAUAGUUCCCCUAGCAACCUGUUGUGGCAGAGUCGUCUACCUGGCCUCUGUGGUGCUGCUGACUCACAUCUGAGGACGGUGAACACUCGUGUGUGUCUGCGCCCACCUAUCCCUACACAGCACAUCAAAUAACUCUCCACCUACAGCACCUGUUCCCACCAGCACCCAUCACC